rnacentral:lncRNA from 1 species
AAUACUGAGUGGCCAGGUUCAGUCACCCUGUUACAGUCAGCCGGGGCAUACUGAAAUGCUCCGUUCGAUUCCAAUAACGGGAGUCAGCAGGAAGAGAAAGGACCAAUUCACACGACGGGUGAGCCUGGUUCAAAGAGCCAAUUGGAUCCAAUUUCAAGAAUCCAAUCUAGGUCCUCUUACCCAAUAUGAGAUCUGAAUUGGCCAGGCAAUCCAAUGCAGUCUAAUUACGAGAAAAUCCAGGUCUUACUACGGGCCUCAACCAAUCUGAUGCGAAGGACCAAUU